rnacentral:rRNA from 1 species
GACGAAGGAUGCAAGCGUUAUCCGGAUUCAUUGGGUUUAAAGGGUGCGUAGGCGGUCUUAUAAGUCAGUGGUGAAAUCUCUCAGCUUAACUGAGAAACUGCCAUUGAUACUGUAGGACUUGAGUACAGAUGAUGUUGGCGGAAUAUGACAUGUAGCGGUGAAAUGCAUAGAUAUGUCAUAGAACACCGAUUGCGAAGGCAGCUGACAAAACUGUAACUGACGCUGGGGCACGAAAGUGUGGGGAUCAAACAGG